GACUGAAGUGAGCUGCGACCGUACCACCACAUUCCAGCCUGGGUGACAGAGUGAGCCCCCGGAAAUGGGUUCUAGAAGGUCCCGAAGAGAUUCCAGGGAAAAAAAACAGGCACAUUGGAGAUAUCAAAGGAGCAUAAUGUGCAUUUGCAUGGAACGAGCAAGUGGGGCGAGCUGACACCAGGGAGAAACUUCCGUACCCUCUUCCUGUGUCCCUACAAAGGCCUGGACAAUGCAGUCCCAGCCCUGCUGCAGAACACGGCCAGGCCCCACCUUCCUCCUUCCUGCAGGGAUAUCCUCUCCUAUAGAAGAGAUGUAUCCGCUACCACCAGAAGUUGGGGACAUUUCCGCUCACCCCAAAACGAAUUCGUUCCUGCAUUGACACAAAUGACAUCUUUCAGAACUGCAAACAAAUCACGUUUCAAUGGAGAUCUUUGGAACGGGGGAUCGGUGUCAGUUGCCCCACAGAGUCUCAGGUCCCUACUCCCUUUGAAGCAGUUGGGCUCUUCUGCACCGACUGCCUCAGAGAAAGGAUGUCACAAUGGAAAACAGAACUGGGAAAAGACUUCCUGACUUUUGAGUUUCAAAAGCUUAGUUCAUUAGAGAAAUGGAAAAGACUCAGAAAAGAUUAAACACUGGGCAGAAAUAUUAUGAGUGAGAACAAAACUGCUUACCAGCCCUCCCACCUGAGUUUCAAGGAUUGCGGCUAUCCAAUGGGGAGGGGAACAGAUGGGGACUGGGGUGAGAGGGUAAGAUCUGGAGAAAAUCCAGGGGCAUGAGCAGACCCAGCACGCAUGGACAACCCAGUGUCUACUCACAGGAGCCUGUGCAUCACCUGCACCUCGGGGCUGGUUGUCUUGACUUUUGGCAUCCAGUGAGGACUUCCUAGCAUGGCUGUUGGCAUUUUCUCACUGACCAUUUAGCAGGAAUAACAACUGUCUUUGCCCCCCAAAUCUGGCUAUGUUUCAGUUGAGAAGACUUACUCCAUGCGGUCAACCCAAUAUGCAAUAUCUCAUGGUGCUUACAAGCCCCCAAGAAGGAGGAUGGGGUCCUUGGGAGCCUGGGAAGGUAGUGCCAUGGAAGGAAAAGUUUCUGAAUCUGCAUCUGAGGGCAAAUGAAACCAGCUCAAGAUUUUCCUGAAACAAUAACAAUGGUUAAGCCCUGCUCUCACACCAAAUCCUCCUUAUUAUAUGAUCCUCUGGCCUUCUAAAG